rnacentral:lncRNA from 1 species
AUCAUAUGCAUGACCUGUGGGGGAAGAAAUCCUAUAUAAAUGAUUGGGAUUACUGCACCAUGCACCUCACAGCUGCAUGAAGUUUGUAAAUAAUUGAACAAGAUUUUCAUGCCACAGCCAACCUCCCAGCCCUGAAGGAUGCCCAUCUUACAGAACACGUCCUGAGACAGCUCAUUAAACCACCCCACGUAUUCACUUCAUUACAGCUUUUUAACAUAUACAUCUUAUUACAUGGAACUCUUCAUGAAUCUCAUUAAAAUCUCAGAAGAGCUAGCUCACUCUUGAAAACAUGUGGUCAUUCUGCCUCUCAGGAGCAACUGUAUAAGAUGUUUGUCCGACAUGGAGAGGUAAAUGGAAAGGAGAUGCUGGAGGAGGAAGAAGAAAAGGGAAAAGAAGAGAUAGAGGUACAAGGGAAAGAAGCCAAUGAGGGGUGGAGAGGAGUCAUUCAUGGUGCAAUUAAACUCGAAGGAUCUGGAAGCCUGAGGAUCUGCUUGAGCCCCAGUCUAAUGAAGUGAAUGCUGCCA